rnacentral:rRNA from 1 species
AGUGAACGCUGGCGGUAGGCCUAACACAUGCAAGUCGAACGGCAGCAUAGUAAGAGCUUGCUCUUACGGGUGGCGAGUGGCGGACGGGUGAGGAAUACAUCGGAAUCUACUUUUUCGUGGGGGAUAACGUAGGGAAACUUACGCUAAUACCGCAUACGACCUACGGGUGAAAGCAGGGGAUCUUCGGACCUUGCGCGAUUGAAUGAGCCGAUGUCGGAUUAGCUAGUUGGCGGGGUAAAGGCCCACCAAGGCGACGAUCCGUAGCUGGUCUGAGAGGAUGAUCAGCCACACUGGAACUGAGACACGGUCCAGACUCCUACGGGAGGCAGCAGUGGGGAAUAUUGGACAAUGGGCGCAAGCCUGAUCCAGCCAUACCGCGUGGGUGAGGAAGGCCUUCGGGUUGUAAAGCCCUUUUGUUGGGAAAGAAAAGCAGCAGGUUAAUACCCCGCUGUUCUGACGGUACCCAAAGAAUAAGCACCGGCUAACUUCGUG